rnacentral:rRNA from 1 species
GAUGAACGCUGGCGGCGUGCUUAACACAUGCAAGUCGAACGAAGCACUUUAUUUGAUUUCCUUCGGGACUGAUUAUUUUGUGACUGAGUGGCGGACGGGUGAGUAACGCGUGGGUAACCUGCCUUGUACAGGGGGAUAACAGUUGGAAACGGCUGCUAAUACCGCAUAAGCGCACAGCAUCGCAUGAUGCAGUGUGAAAAACUCCGGUGGUAUAAGAUGGACCCGCGUUGGAUUAGCUAGUUGGUGAGGUAACGGCCCACCAAGGCGACGAUCCAUAGCCGACCUGAGAGGGUGACCGGCCACAUUGGGGCUGAGACACGGCCCAAACUCCUACGGGAGGCAGCAGUGGGGAAUAUUGCACAAUGGGCGAAAGCCUGAUGCAGCGACGCCGCGUGAGCGAAGAAGUAUUUCGGUAUGUAAAGCUCUAUCAGCAGGGAAGAUAAUGACGGU